rnacentral:lncRNA from 1 species
CAAAAAACAACAGAAAAAACUGUUUUCUUCCAGAAUAUCACAUAAUCACAAAAGCCUGAUGCCUAAAAAUGAUUUCGGUUGUCAGGCACCCCCAGACAGGCAGGACAUUUUAGCCUGUUUCAGAGGUUCCUAGCUACAGGACUUCACUAAGAUCCUGGAGGAUGACCUGUACGCCAUCAUCAAGCCCAGUCAGUGGUCCAGAAGAAGAAAUGUGACUUUAAAUGUUGUCAGUUUUUUUAUAUUGUUAAGAUAUUGUGACAGCUAAGUCCAUGUUGUGCUUGUUUUUAAUAGUGGCUGUGUUUCUGAACCGUUAGGGGACUGUGGGAUCCAUUCUAGCCCGGAAAGAUGAUACCAAGACAGAGGAUGUUGUCUGUGAGCAACUUGUCCAAAGACAUGCUACUCAGGUUCACCCAUAGCGUGUGAGCGACAGAGAGAGUGUGUUCCACUGAUGUAUGGAUGAGUGACCCAGUGUAGCAGCAUGGAGGACCUCUCAAGAGGAGAGCUGCAAUACUUUGCCUGUGCUGUGAUCUGUAUCCGAAAAGCAGACAUCUUUGUGUUGAAGAAGCCAUCCACCUCCCUGGAUGUGAAGCAGUGUCUGAAAGCAGCCAUCACAUUCGCUCCCUCAUCACUCUAGAUGAGCAUGUGUGUGUGAAACGAGCUCACAUCAUCACCAUCUCU